GACCUUCUGGUGCUCAGCCCAGGCUGUGUUGUUACACUGACCAUAGAAAGAGGCAAAGUAAACCUACCCCAUGCCCUUGGCCAGGCCCUGUGCCAGGUCGCUACUGUGAACAGGGAGACACGG
rnacentral:snoRNA from 1 species